GGGCAGUAGUUCAGUUGGUAGAGCAGCGGUCUCCAAAACCGCCUGUCGUGGGUUCAAGUCCUGCCUGCC
rnacentral:tRNA from 1 species